rnacentral:pre_miRNA from 1 species
AUUUAAGUUGGUGCAAGAGUAGUUGCAGUUUUUGCCAUUGAAAGUAAUGGCAAAAACUGCAACUACUCUUGCACCAACCUAACA